GCUUAUUAAACCAGCCGCCUACCAAUCUGGAGCAGGCUGCCUUGGUCUUCAGUCUCUCCCUGUCCUCAGUGUACAGGGACCAGUUUUCCAAUCAAUGACUAUGAGGUUAAUUUUUUUACAAACAUGUUACAAAAGAAACUGAGACUCCAAAUUUUAAGUAAUUUGCCUAAAGUUACACAGCUAGUAAAUAGCUAAGUCGUGAUUUGACCCCAGUACCAUUUGACUUCAAAAUCUAUACUUUAAAAAAAACUAGUUAAUAAGGCUCUUUUUCACAAUGCAAAUGUGUCCCACUGAUCUCAUAGUCACGACAGAUUUGAGACCAGUGAAUAACCUGCAGAUUCUAACUCUGGCUAUAUACAGACACCACUUGUUUGCUUGCUUAGUCACAGUCAUGUCCCAACUUUUUGUGACCUCAUGGACUGUAGCCGGUCAGGCUCCUCUGUCCAUGGGAUUUCCCAAGCAAGAACACUGGACUGGGUUGUCAUUUCCUUCUCCAGAGGAUCUUCUCGACCCAGGGUUGAACUUGCAUACUCUGCAUUGGCAGGCGCAUUCUUUACUACUGAGUCACCAGAGAAGGUGGAUAAAAGUUAAGCAAACAUUUACGCAGCCCCAUUCUCAUCCACCUUGGAGCAUUCUCAUCGUGUACUUGGUGAUUUAGAUGCAAAUAUGAGAAUCUUCCUCUUAGAAGAGUUGUAGCCUAGUGAGAAAAUACAACAAACUUUUGCUCAUGUAAAGUGGUAAGUGUUAAACUAAGGGGUCAGGGAGGAAGAAGAGAGAACUAACUUGGGAUGAAAUUCUUGAACUGAUUCAAAAAAACAAUAUUCUUCAAAAUAAUCAACAUUAAAAAAAAAAAAAAAGAAUGUGUUUUCUCAGUUGUGUCUGACUCUUUGCAACCCCAUGGACUGUAGCCCAUCAGGCUCCUCUGUCCAUGAGAUUUUCCCAGCAAGAAUACUGGAGUGGGAGUGGGUUGCCAUGUCCUCCCCCAGGGGAUCUUCCCAGCCCAGGGAUGGAACCUGCAUCUCGUGCAUUAGCAGGCAGAUUCUUUACCACUAGGCCAACUACAUGUGUCGAUUAUCUAAUUUCUUGAUAUAUUUUAGACUUUCCUCUUGGAGUAAUCUUUAGAGAAUAUUUGCAACUUACAAAAAAGGUGAUGCUUGUCUUUCAUUUUUAACAAAUUAUUCCAACUAGCUCAUUGCUUUCCAAAAUGUUAUUUCCUUGAAUAAUUUCACUCCAUGAAACAUGCUUCCAUG
rnacentral:lncRNA from 1 species